CACGUAGGGCGCGAGCGUUGUCCGGAAUUAUUGGGCGUAAAGAGCUCGUAGGCGGCCUGUUGCGUCCGCUGUGAAAGCCCGGGGCUUAACCCCGGGUCGGCAGUGGAUACGGGCAGGCUAGAGGUAGGUAGGGGAGAAUGGAAUUCCCGGUGUAGCGGUGAAAUGCGCAGAUAUCGGGAGGAACACCGGUGGCGAAGGCGGUUCUCUGGACAGUUCCUGACGCUGAGGCACGAAGGUCAGGGGAGCAAACGGG
rnacentral:rRNA from 1 species